rnacentral:miRNA from 1 species
CUGAUGUAGAUUAGGACAUAAAUCUACAUCGAUUUUCAGCAGAAUUGAUGUAGAUUUAUGUCCUAAUCUACAUCGA